UAGGGAAUAUUGGACAAUGGGUGAGAGCCUGAUCCAGCCAUGCCGCGUGCAGGAUGAAGUAUUUCGGUAUGUAAACUUCGAAAGAAUAGGAAGAAUAAAUGACGGUACUAUUUAUAAGGUCCGGCUAACUACGUGCCAGCAGCCGCGGUAAUACGUAGGGACCAAGCGUUGUUCGGAUUUACUGGGCGUAAAGGGCGCGUAGGCGGCAUGACAAGUCACUUGUGAAAUCUCUGGGCUUAACCCAGAACGGCCAAGUGAUACUGUCGCGCUAGAGUGCAGAAGGGGCAAUCGGAAUUCUUGGUGUAGCGGUGAAAUGCGUAGAUAUCAAGAGGAACACCUGAGGUGAAGACGGGUUGCUGGGCUGACACUGACGCUGAGGCGCGAAAGCCAGGGGAGCAAACGGGAUUAGAUACCCACGUAGUCCCUGAGCGGGCUGGCAAGGCGCAU
rnacentral:rRNA from 1 species